UUCUCCGUCUUCCCGUCGCUCCUGCAUCCGCUCCGACACCUCCUUCACCCUCCUCAACAAUGCCUCCACCUGACCACCUCUUGCUUCCUCACUCAAUUGAUAGGCGAUGAUGACGACAGAGAUGGCGUACGCGGUGUUGUCGUCUUCGCGGACUACGGUGGUUUGACGGGGUGUUCUCCUUUCGCUUAUCUGUCUUCUAAAUUCCUCACUGUCAAUUCUUUACUCUAGCUUCUAAGGUUUAUCAAUCUGGAUUUUAGUAUUAAUUUGUUUUUGUUUUUAAUUUCUUUUUGAUGCCUUAUAUUAUUCGAUUGCUUGCAUAAGCUUCACUGCUAGCAACCUACUUAUUGUGAAGUUAUGUGUGUGAUACUUGCUAGCCCGUUACAAUUUCUUUAAGAUGUUUAUAAUUAUUUAAAACCAACUUAUUGUGAAGUUAUGUGUGUGAUACUUGCUAGCCCGUUACAAUUUCUUUAAGAUGUUUAUAAUUAUUUAAAACCAUACGAGAAGUUAUGUAUCUUUUAACUUAUAACAUGACAUACAUUUGAAAUUGGGUUUACAAAGUUUGACUUUGUGGCCAAUCUUGCGGAAAGUUUUCUCCAAUUU
rnacentral:lncRNA from 1 species